rnacentral:miRNA from 1 species
UCAAGAACUCUUGACCAUCAUC